CCUCUCUCGUUCUUUUCUCGCCCGGCCUGAGAGGCGUCGUGUGUCUCUUUGCAAUUGCGGCUCCUUUGCAUCAGGCCGCGGCGGGAGACGGGGAAGAUGGCGGGGCGCAAGAAGAAGCUGGCGGGCGAAGGGAACGAAAGCCGGGCCCUCCCGCAGGAAGCCCAGCAGCCGAAGGGAAGGCCCGGAGGCCUUGCCCGUGAAGGGUAUAUGCAGGGCGCAGGGCACAGACCCAAGGGAUAACUUGUUUGCUUACAAAAAAUGGCCUGUGAUGAAAUUGUUGGGUUUUGCAGAAGUGAUUCUGCUGAAUGAGAGGAAUAUAGUGUCUGAAGCAGCAGCUCUUCCUUCUGUUAGAAAACAAUGAAAGAAAACACCAUAUUGGUAAAGUGACUUGUGGCUGACUUCACUGAAGAAUAAUCUUGUGAUGUCUAAUUUAGCCUGAAAAUAUCUGGCUUCAACUUCAUACUUGACCAUGAAUUUUUCUGAGUAUUUGCUUUGUGCCCUAGAGCUGCAAGAAAAAAAUACUGGAUUUUCUUCAUAGAUAAGAUGGACUUGGAUCCAUUGUUGUGGCAGAUCAUACAGGUAUAUUGGCAAUCUGCUUGUCCUGUUUUGUUUUUUCAUCUUGUAGAUUUCAGAAAUGUAGAUGUAAAAUAGAUGCUCACCAUCUGUUUCAUUCACCUUUUCCCUCUUUGUUUGAUAAAAUUGGUCUGGGAGGGAUUGCACAUAAUGAAAAUGGCUUAUUUUUCCUCCUCGCUUCAAAAGAAAUUGAUUGGAGGGCAGGGAUGAACUGUAUUCUGUAUGACAAAUGGAUAUCCACAAGCAUUUAUUACAAGAUUCCUGUGCAGCAUGCAGGGAAGAAGAAAGAAGGCACAGGACAGGACCAACUUUAUGGCACACUACUAUACAUCAAAAACAUUUCACAAACAGUAGAAUGCAAGCAGGCAUUGCACACCGCCCAAAGGCUACUAUAUGAGGACAGAUCAUGCAUUGUAAAGAUCACUUGAAGGGGGAGAUAUUUCCAAUGUAAUCUACCAGAUCCCCUCUGGUAGGGCAGAUGGGGAGGAAGCUAACUACUAGAUUGCAAGAACAUAAGUGAGUGGUCACACACAGAGAUCCAAACUCAUUGGGAGUCUCACAUUGCAAUGAACAAGGACAUAAAUUGAAUUUUAUACCAUUAAGAUUGUUGGCUGAGCAGUACAAAAAUAGUUAAGUUAUUGAAGCCUGGGAAAUGGAUCCCUUGUCAGUCAAAAGGAGUGCCAAUUUAUCAGCUUAUUAGGCACUUAGAUGAA